rnacentral:rRNA from 1 species
UGUGUAGGCGGUUUAGUUAGUCCUUCGUAAAAGCCCGCGGGCUCAACCCGUGGAAUGCGGGGGAAACGGGCUAAACUCAGAGGAUGCGAGAGGUAAAGGGAACUCAUGGUGUAGGGGUGAAAUCCGUUGAUAUCAUGGGGAACACCAAAUGCGAAGGCACUUUACUGGCGCACUCCUGACGCUGAGACACGAAAGCGUGGGUAGCGAACG